rnacentral:lncRNA from 1 species
AUCUCAUUAAAAAGAUCAUCCGCAACCUGGAAUGACAAAAGUACAAAAGUAAGAAAUGGCAGUCUUGCUGAACUUAGAACAGAAGUACAUGUUCUGCUAAACCUAGCUAAAUAAGUCCAUGCAAUGACAACAAACCUUCAGAAGAACUUCUGUCAACACACGUGUAAUUUCCUUGUUGAUUGCUGCCAUCCAUGCCGCUUCGACUUCAUCCUGCAAAUGAUUCAAGUCCAGUACAUCGAUUUGAAAUGAGGGCCAUGUUAAUAUCCAAGUCGAAUAUGAACAGGAACAAAAAGGAUUAACUUUUCAGUAACUAGCAUCCUAUGUUUCCACCAGAUCCGAAAGAAGUGAACAUGUGUACAGAUGCAAAAAGACACUGCUCGGGAAAAAUGAUUACAGGAAUUAGGAGAUUUGCCGGUACAAUAAUACAGUAUGACAAGCACUCAAGUCUCAAGUAAAUGAUAUCCAGGUUGCUUCACUGACAAAUCUGGAAAAAAUUGACACAUAGCCAUGCCAUUUCUCUCACUUAUGAAAUCACUGUUCUUCAGAAAUUGCUAUAUAAACAUUAAAAGACAAUAGACGGAAGUAGGUAAAUUAUUUAGUUUCUCAAAGCCACCAGGCACUAACCUCCACUCAGUCUAACAGCCCAACCUUUCUAUCAUGAUUAAAUUAGUUCACUUUGAUUUACAAAAGUUGUCCAAAUAUUAUUAUGCAUUUAAAGUCCGC